GUUGGAGUUCAGUGGUAGAACAUUUGCUUAGCAUGUACAAGGCCCUGGGUUUGAUCCUCAGAAAAACA
rnacentral:tRNA from 1 species